GUUCAUUCGACACUUUUAGAAAACGGUGCCAGACUCCACAGCACACAUUUACAGAGCACCUGGAAGCCUGCAAAGUGUUUUACAUGAAUCGUCUCAUUUGAUGGGUCGAGGACAAGGGGGGAACAUGUCUGCAUACAAGCAAAGAGAAAGCUGUGCAAAGUCCAGACACGUCCAAAAGACAUCUCUAGGGCAGACGUUGGCAGGGCCUUCCAGCCCACAACCAGUGCAUGCUGUCAGGGCAGUUACUGGAAAGUUUAAAAAUGUCCUUUCUUCAGCACCACCCUCUGGGGCAGAUUCGUCACGGAUUCAGAAUCUGGCCUUCUGCCUGAGAGAUGCACAUACAGCUUUAUGCAAGAAAUGAUGGGAGGCUACUACAAAGGAGAGACUUGGCAAGGCCUGAGCCUGGCUCGGUGAACAGAACCAAGAAGGUAAGGCCUUUGCCUUUCAGGGCCCCUCCCUGCUCUCCCCCUCC